GGCGCGGGGUACCGGGCUUGGUAGCCCGGGGCUUCGGCCGAGGGCGAGAGCCCUCGGGGUUCGAUUCCCCCCCUGCGCCGC
rnacentral:tRNA from 1 species